CGCCGGAGACGAGGACGUAACGUGUCAACGUUACGUGGAGGUGGAAUGGUGAUAAAGUAUAAAAGUUAUUAUACGUAUACGUGAAAAUAAUACAGGCAUUUCGAGAGUCUAGUCUGCAUGCCGUCUACCAAUGCCAGACUGAGUGACGACUACCUACGUCCGGUUCUAGUCGACGGAACGACGAUUCGCUUGUCAUUAAACGACGCACUUUGCAGAUACGGCAGACGGACUACUCGAAAGAGGGACUAGGAUUUACUGAAUUUCAUACAGAUCCGCAAAACGUUGAACGGAGUCUCAUGUAUCGCAAAAAAAGAAUAAUUGAAAUUAAUCUAACUCACGCUUAAUACGCUGUAUUAUACGAGCAGAGUUCGCGAGUAAAAUCUUUGAGGAAAAAUCAAAGAGAUUAAAAUACCGAACGUAACUGCAGUUUUCUCCUUUUCGAUCGAGGGUCCAAAAGAAAUGAAGCGGUUGUUCACUUUCUAUACGGUAGUCGAUGUACGUGUCCCAAUAUACUUUUUCUUUGCACUCUCUCCCGACGUACGGCGUCGAAAAAUUCGGUUCAAUCAUUGCCAUUGGGCCGGAAUACCUAAUUGCGUUUAGAUACACACGAAUUAAUUAUGCUUUCGAUCGGAUCCGGCGCCCGCGGUAGGAAUCGGGGCGCCGCGGCGCGGAAUAGCGUAUGAGUUUUUUUACACCCGUUUAGAGGCAGCCAAUUGAAUUUUGGCAGAGAAAAAAAAAAAAAAAGAAAAAAAGAAAAAAGUAGAACAGAUUCAAAAUAUGUAUUAUACAUUUAAAUGGGUCUUUCCGCCUAUUAUACGCUUCCAUACGAAUAGAAAGCUACGAUGUGAUUUUUAUCAGUCCCAGACUAUAUGAAGAAAUGGUCCCGAUUUUCUAUGAGCCUUUUUAGUGAUCUAUUCAUAACGUAAAUAGACGAGAAAUGUAUACGACGUCUAUGCCGGCGCUCGCGUAUGGUGAAUAUACAUUUUUGAGGCCCUUGAAGUCCCCCGGUGUGUGUUCAGACUCCAGAUAAAUUAUACGAGUGAGAAAUUUAUGUACAUUUUGUUGAACCUUGACUAGCGAGAAUGACUCGCUAAAUCGAGCAUGUAAUAUAAAACGAAAUAGGAACACAGAGCCGCGUGAACAUGUCAACACACGGGUGCAUUAACGUGCCUGUAUUUUCACCCCAUUGUAAUAAGCUACGCGUCCGUCCACGUCCCUCUCGCAUGCACGUAUAACGGCGUUGCGUCGCGUCUGCGGAGCCAUGAAUGUAACUAAAUCGAUGACAAUUAUGCAUUCAUGAAUGCAGCGAUAUAUGGAGAUAUCGCAUACAUGCGUGUACUAUGAAUAUAAUCAGAAAGAGACAGAGACUAUAGCACGAGGUCGGCGGCACUCCCUUCGAUUCAGAAUCGUCGUCGUCGUAAUUAAAUACAGCUAUGUUAUUACCAACGGAGUGUGUUAACUGUACGGGUAAUACGCGUUCGGUGCUGGAAUUACCGAAAAUCAAAAUUUACUUUCAAAUGCGGAUCGCAUUUUCAAGAGGAGAAUUUAUUUCACGGUGAAUUUCUCCCUACGGAAUUCUAAUUUUAUAACAUACCAUAAUCUAUUGUACUCGUAAUGCGGAGUGACGGUAUAACAGUGGUGAGAAUGUAUAGAGAAAGAAAAGGAUCUGGAGAAGGUCGAAUAAGCUGUCGUAAAAUUCCUGCAAUUUAUAAUACCACCUUGGUAUAAUUUUACAAAACUGUAAAUGAAUACUCGAUGGACUUUCCAUUCUCAUUGUAUGUAGGUAUACGAAUAUGUUCUUCGCACGCCUAACUUCACACGAUAGAUAAAAGGAACCUCCAUUCGAAGGACCGGAGAG